rnacentral:tRNA from 1 species
GAUUUGUAGCUCAGUUGGGAGAGCGUUAGACUAUAGAUCGAAAAGUCCUUGGUUCGAUCCCGGGUACCG